GGCUGUGCGGUGUAGUGGUGGCGAUUCUCGCUUAGGGUGCGAGGAGGUCCCGAGUCCAAUUCCUCGGCACAGCCC